rnacentral:rRNA from 1 species
GAUGAACGCUGGCGGCGUGCCUAAUACAUGCAAGUCGAGCGAACAGACGAGGAGCUUGCUCCUCUGACGUUAGCGGCGGACGGGUGAGUAACACGUGGAUAACCUACCUAUAAGACUGGGAUAACUUCGGGAAACCGGAGCUAAUACCGGAUAAUAUAUUGAACCGCAUGGUUCAAUAGUGAAAGACGGUUUUGCUGUCACUUAUAGAUGGAUCCGCGCCGCAUUAGCUAGUUGGUAAGGUAACGACUUACCAAGGCAACGAUGCGUAGCCGACCUGAGAGGGUGAUCGGCCACACUGGAACUGAGACACGGUCCAGACUCCUACGGGAGGCAGCAGUAGGGAAUCUUCCGCAAUGGGCGAAAGCUUGACGGAGCAACGCCGCGUGAGUGAUGAAGGUCUUCGGAUCGUAAAACUCUGUUAUUAGGGAAGAACAAAUGUGUAAGUAACUAUGCACGUCUUGACGGUACCUAAUCAGAAAGCCACGGCUAACUACG